rnacentral:rRNA from 1 species
UUCUGGCUCAGGAUGAACGCUGGCGGCGUGCCUAACACAUGCAAGUCGAACGGAGUUACAAGAGCUUGCUUUGUAACUUAGUGGCGGACGGGUGAGUAAUGUAUGAGCAACCUGCCUUUCAGAGGGGGACAACAGUUGGAAACGACUGCUAAUACCGCAUAAUGUAUUUUGAGGGCAUCCUCGGGAUACCAAAGGAGCAAUCCGCUGAAAGAUGGGCUCAUAUCUGAUUAGCUAGUCGGUGGGGUAACGGCUCACCAAGGCUGCGAUCAGUAGCCGGACUGAGAGGUUGAACGGCCACAUUGGGACUGAGAUACGGCCCAGACUCCUACGGGAGGCAGCAGUGGGGAAUAUUGGGCAAUGGGCGAAAGCCCUGACCCAGCAACGCCGCGUGAAGGAAGAAGGUCUUCGGAUUGUAAACUUCUUUUAUGAGGGACGAAGGACGUGACGGUACCUCAUGAAUAAGCCACGGCUAACUACGUGCCAGCAGCGGC